rnacentral:misc_RNA from 1 species
CCAUGUUUUAAAAAUUGGUUUUGAAAUUUGAUCAACAAAUGUCAUAAUUCCCCAACAUCUCAGACUGCUCUGAAAAAUGGCAGGAAAAGAACCAAGGGGAACUGGAACCCUCACUAUAGAGACUGUCAAAGUAUUUGCUGAAUCUAUUGGAAUCGCAAGUCUCCCUGAUAAUGCCGCUCAGUUGCUUGCAAAUGAUGCCACCUAUAGGCUGCAACAGCUAGCUCAAGAGGCAGCAAAGUUCAUGCGACAUGGGAAACGAAAAGCUAUGAGUACUGUUGAUUUUGAUCAUGCCCUGAAAGUCCAGAAUGUCGAGCCUGUGUAUGGCUUCAAAGCCAAAGAUUACAUUCCUCUACGUCAUGCUAGUGGGGGAGGCAGAGAACUUCACUUCCAAGAGGAAAAGGAACUUGAUUUACACGAAAUUGUUAACUCGCAGGUUCCUAAAAUCCCACUUGAUGUUGUAUUAAAGUCUCAUUGGCUGUCGAUUGAUGGCAUACAGCCCAGUGUGCCAGAGAAUCCAGUUCCCGUACCGAAACACCAACAACAAGAAGAAAGUGUUGAUCCAAAAUCAUCUCUCAAAAUAACUAAACCUCGUAUGUCAGCAGAUCCAACAAAAACAAAGCAUAAGUUGCAUGGUCCAGAGAUGGUAAAACUAAAGCCCGUUGCCAUGCAUGAGUUGUCAGUGGAGCAGCAGUUGUAUUACAAAGAAAUCACUGAAGCGUGUGUUGGUUCUGAUGAAGCCCGAAGAUCUGAGGCCCUGCAAAGUCUUGCAAGUGACCCUGGUCUGCAUCAGAUGCUUCCUAGGUUCACUACCUUUAUAGCUGAGGGUGUGAAAGUCAAUGUGGUUCAAAAUAACCUUGCAUUACUCAUUUAUCUCAUGCGCAUGGUGAAGUCAUUAAUGGACAAUACUUCUAUAUACCUUGAGAAAUACCUGCAUGAAAUGAUACCUGCUUUAAUGACUUGUAUCGUAUCGAAACAGUUAUGUAUGCGACCUGAUGUUGACAAUCACUGGGCAUUACGUGACUUCGCCGCCAGACUGAUGUCCCAGUUAUGUAAGAACUAUAGUAGUUUGACCAACAACAUCCAAACUCGUGUAACACAAACAUUUAGUAAGGCAUUGUCAAGUGAUAAAGCCCCACUUGCUACCCACUAUGGAGCUAUAUCAGGCUUGGGGGAGAUGGGCACAGAGGUGAUAAAAUCAUUUCUCUUACCUUUGGUUAAGGCAGAAGGUGAGAGAAUACAGAGCACAGCCGCAGCACCAACUCGGACAAAUGUCGACAGAAUAUCUUCAGACCAUGUGCGUAAUAUCUUACUCAAGGUGGUUGCCCCAGCUUUGAAACAAACACGUACACCACCUGAUAACAUAGAUGACUAUAAAGAAGAAUUUGGUGCCUAUAUGGGGCAGCUUCUUCAUGCCGCUGUAACUAAGGCAAGGCAGGUUCUUCCAGUGUCCUCAACUGGCCCACGUACUCCACAACCCCAGGCCCGUCCAAACUCCAGCGUUGUACUCAAUGCACAAGGUAUACAAGGGAGAGUGACCCAAACAACUCCAGGGCAGAAAUUUGUUCUUGUGUCAUCCAGGGCUGGUGCGAGUACUCCAACCUCAAGCCUCAGUUCAAGUAUGAAUCGCUCAGUUGUAAAGCUUGUUGGUGGAGAAUCAUCCACACCUAUAUCUGCCAAGCCAAAGAUUGUUGUAGUGACCAUGUCACAGGGUACUCCACCGGGCACUGCUCAGAUACGUACUAUUUCAGCCUCCCAUGACCUUGGGGUCAGAAGUGUCUUCAGUGGGGAUUAUGUGAAACAAGAACAAGACUAAUUCAAUUUUAAUUAAUGAAAUUUCAAUUUUGCAAAGUGACCUACUUUUGUUAACAUUUCUAUGUUUAUGCUUUAUAUGUAUAGGGUGGGCCGAAAAUUGCCCCCAUAGAUUAAUCAAAUAAUUAUAAUUUAGGCACUUUCACUACAGCAUACUGGUAUGUACUAUAUACCCUUGGAAAGAAAAUUUAAUUUCCAAUGAUUUGACAUAUUAUUCAGCAAGAUUGUGUCACUAAAGCAAUUUUCAUAUGAACUUUAUGACAUUGGUUAUCAUUUUUUCAGUUUCUGAUAUUUUACAAUAGAAGUAUAGAGAUAGUAUAUAUUCAAAUCUAUCAUUUAGAUAAUCCAGAUGUAACAAAAUAAGUUUUUCCAAAUGAAAAACAGAUUUUCUAAUAAUCACCACAAAAU